GUGAAUCACAUUAGUUUGUGCGUAACUAUAUAAAAAUUAUAAUAAACAAAUUAUAUGAACUUCAAUCCUGACAAAAGCAGAACGAAGGCGUAAAUUUGAAUGAAGUCUGAGCUGGUUGGUCUAUCCGCUGGAACGGCCUGACGAAAGAACUUCCUGACUUGUGAUUUGAAUUAUUAUUGACAAUGUAAUUAACGCCCAAAUAAAAAUAUCUAUAUUA